UCGCUUCAGCAGCAUAUAUACUAAGGUUGGAACAAAACAGAGAUUAGCACGGCCCCCGUGACACACAGACUCAUGAAGAGCUUCUUAUUUUU
rnacentral:snRNA from 1 species